AUUGAACGCUGGCGGCAGGCCUAACACAUGCAAGUCGAGCGGAGAGGCGGACGGGAGAGUAAUGCCUAGGAAUCUGCAUGGUAGUGGGGGAUAACGUACGGAAACGGGCGAUAAUACCGCAUAAUAUCAGAUGCGCAGAGGUCGGAUUAGCUAGUUGGUGGGGGAAAGGCCUACAAAGGCGACGAUCCGUAACUGGUCGGAGAGGAUGAUCAGUCAAACUGGUACUGAUACAGGGUCCAGACUCCUACGUGAGGCAGCAGUGGGGAAUAUUGGACAAGUGGCGAAAGCCGGAUCCAGCCAUUCCGCUGGUGUUAAGAAGGUCUUCGGAUUGUAAAGCACUUUAAGUUGGGAGGCGUUACCAACAGAAUAAGCACCGGCUAACUUCGUGCCAGCAGCCGCGGUAAUAC
rnacentral:rRNA from 1 species